rnacentral:rRNA from 1 species
AAGACCUUGCGCUUUUGGAGCGGCCGAUGCCUGAUUAGCUUGUUGGUAAGGUAAAAGCUUACCAAGGCUUCGAUCAGUAGCUGGUCUGAGAGGACGGCCAGCCACACUGGGACUGAGACACGGCCCAGACUCCUACGGGAGGCAGCAGUGGGGAAUUUUGGACAAUGGGGGCAACCCUGAUCCAGCCAUGCCGCGUGAGUGAAGAAGGCCUUCGGGUUGUAAAGCUCUUUCAGCCGGAACGAAACGGUUACGGUUAAUAUCCGUGACUACUGACGGUACCGGAAGAAGAAGCACCGGCUAACUACGUGCCAGCAGCCGCGGUAAUACGUAGGGUGCGAGCGUUAAUCGGAAUUACUGGGCGUAAAGCGUGCGCAGGUGGUUUUGUAAGUCAGAUGUGAAAGCCCCGGGCUCAACCUGGGAACU